rnacentral:pre_miRNA from 1 species
UUUCUAUUCCCUCCGUCCGAAAAUACUUGUCAUCAAAACGGAUAAAAAGAGAUGUAUCUAAAACUAAAAUACGUCUAGAUACAUUUCCUUUUAUCCAUUUUGAUGACAAGUAUUUUCGGACGGAGGGAGUAUUUG